rnacentral:rRNA from 1 species
AUUGAACGCUGGCGGCAGGCUUAACACAUGCAAGUCGAGCGGGGUGAUGGUGCUUGCACUAUCACUUAGCGGCGGACGGGUGAGUAAUACAUCGGAACGUACCCAGUUGUGGGGGAUAGCCCGGCGAAAGCCGGAUUAAUACCGCAUACGACCUGAGGGUGAAAGUGGGGGAUCGCAAGACCUCACGCCGUUGGAGCGGCCGAUGGCGGAUUAGCUAGUUGGUGGGGUAAAGGCCUACCAAGGCGACGAUCCGUAGCGGGUCUGAGAGGACGACCCGCCACACUGGAACUGAGACACGGUCCAGACUCCUACGGGAGGCAGCAGUGGGGAAUUUUGGACAAUGGGGGCAACCCUGAUCCAGCCAUUCCGCGUGAGUGAAGAAGGCCUUCGGGUUGUAAAGCUCUUUCGGCAGGAACGAAACGGUGGGCGCUAACAUCGCCUGCUAAUGACGGUACCUGAAGAAGAAGCCCCGGCUAACUACGUGCCAGCAGCCGCAGUAA